GUCGGCAGCUGGUCCUGAUGCUGCGGAUGCCAUCUAUCUCUCAUACAGGGAUGACAAUAGAAGAUACUGAUAGUUGAAGGACAGAUGCACCAGCCACUUAGUCCCAGAGAGGGGGAUAAGUGAGAAGAGGAGGCCAGUGUGGGCCAGAAGAGGGUGGAUGAGACAAAAGGAGAAGAGAACGAGGUGGAACCCAGGUCCAUGCCCAGGAAUAACUCACAGGAGCUACUAGGCCCCCUGCCCAGCCUGUGAGAUAUCAGAGAAAUUUGGAGGAAGGUCAAGCUGCGAACAAUUUAAGGAGUCUGUCAGCGGGCAUAGAGGAGAGAUAUUUGGAGUAGGGAUGGUCUUGGCAGCUAAUUGAAAUGGGAGAAAAUGAG